GGGCGCGAUCACACCAGCGUCAACGCACCGGAGCGCAUCGGAACUCCAUAGUUAAUCGCGCUUGGGAUAGAGUGGUACUCGGGUGGGUGACCUCCCGGGAAGUCCUAGUGUUGCACCCUC
rnacentral:rRNA from 1 species